GAACCGUACAAACGUUAUUCGGGAAUCACUGGGCUUAAAGGGUGCGUAGGCGGCUCGUCAAGUUGGGGUGUGAAAUCCCUCGGGCUCAACCGAGGAACUGCGCUCAAAACUGGCGAGCUCGAGGAAGACAGAGGUGAGCGGAACUUAGGGUGGAGCGGUGAAAUGCGUUGAUAUCCUAAGGAACACCAGUAGCGAAGGCGGCUCACUGGGUCUUUUCUGACGCUGAGGCACGAAAGCUAGGGUAGCGAACGGGAUUAGAUACCCCGGUAGUCCUAGCUGUAAACGAUGAGCACUAGAUCGGAGGGUCCUCCAUAGCCUUCCGGUCGUAGCGAAAGUGUUAAGUGCUCCGCCUGGGGAGUAUGGUCGCAAGGCUG
rnacentral:rRNA from 1 species